UCCUUACCGCUGACAUCACUAACUAGCCAGUUCCCUCCAGCAGCACCAGAGAGCUUCAUUUUCUGAUCUGCUUUUGUGUUAAAAUGGAGGCUGGCUCCUUGCCUUAAGUGGAUUGCCUUCCUGGUCGAGUUUAGAUGUUGACAUGCACUAAAGCUGGAAUCAGGAUGGUUGUGGAUGCACCUAAUUCCAGUGGGCCUUUCCAGCCAGUGGCUCUUAUGCACUUCAGAGGGGAGAGAAUACGAGCUGUUUCAAGAAGUGGUCAGGCUGAAAUGGAAUGCCAUCCAGUGAAGAUCAAAGACUGUGCUCUGGCGGAGCAGGAGAAGUUGUUUGUGCAGAAGCUGCGCCAGUGUUGCGUGCUCUUUGACUUCCUGUCGGACCCACUAAGUGACCUGAAAUGGAAGGAGGUGAAGCGUGCGGCGCUGAGCGAGAUGGUCGAGUACAUCACCCACAACAGGAACGUCAUCACAGAGCCCGUCUACCCAGAGGUGGUGCACAUGUUUACGGUGAACAUGUUCCGAACAUUGCCUCCGUCAUCCAACCCCACAGGAGCAGAGUUUGACCCGGAGGAGGACGAGCCUACACUUGAGGCUGCUUGGCCACAUCUCCAGCUCGUCUACGAAUUUUUCCUUCGGUUUUUAGAAUCUCCUGACUUUCAACCGAACAUAGCAAAGAAGUACAUCGACCAAAAAUUUGUGAUGCAGCUUUUAGACCUGUUUGACAGUGAGGACCCACGGGAGAGGGACUUCCUCAAAACCACUCUCCACAGGAUCUAUGGGAAAUUCCUGGGACUACGGGCCUACAUCAGAAAACACAUCAAUAAUAUAUUUUAUAGGUUUAUCUAUGAGACUGAGCACCAUAAUGGAAUAGCAGAAUUACUGGAGAUACUCGGAAGUAUAAUCAAUGGGUUUGCCUUACCACUAAAGGAGGAGCACAAGAUUUUCCUGUUAAAGGUCCUGUUGCCUUUGCACAAAGUCAAAUCACUUAGUGUCUACCAUCCACAGCUGGCAUACUGUGUUGUGCAAUUUCUAGAGAAGGACAGCACUCUCACUGAACCAGUGGUAAUGGCCCUUCUCAAAUACUGGCCAAAGACUCACAGCCCCAAAGAGGUGAUGUUCCUCAAUGAGCUGGAGGAGAUUCUGGAUGUCAUUGAGCCGUCUGAGUUCGUCAAGGUCAUGGAGCCACUCUUCAGGCAGCUGGCAAAGUGUGUGUCCAGCCCGCACUUCCAGGUAGCAGAGAGAGCUCUGUACUACUGGAACAAUGAGUACAUCAUGAGUCUAAUCAGCGACAAUGCAGCCAAAAUCCUGCCCAUCAUGUUCCCGGCACUCUACCGUAACUCCAAGACCCACUGGAACAAGACCAUCCAUGGCCUCAUCUACAACGCUCUCAAGCUCUUCAUGGAAAUGAACCAGAAGCUGUUUGAUGACUGCACACAGCAGUUCAGAGCAGAGAAAAAUAAUGGUCCUCGACGGUAAAAACAACACAAUGAUUAAAAGAGAAAAGGCCAAGUCAAAAGAGAGGGAAGAGGCCUGGCUCAAGAUUGAGAACCUUGCCAAAUCACAUGUAGUGUGCUAAUGUGGAUAUUGGAUCAGAAUCCUAGUGAAAGAAGUUCACAGGUUAAAAAAGACAGUAACGGAAGAAUCCACUCAGUUACAACAGAGAGACCAGAGAAAAGACCGUCCUCUGGUGCAGCGCGAGUCGGAUCUCCCUCAGGACAUCUACACCACAAAAGCCUUGGAGACCCAUCGCCGCGCUGAUGACAUGAUCACCACCCACAAUAGGCUCUAGGUCUGCCCCUCCUCUCUCUUCUCUUCUGUCCAGUCCCCUAAAGGAGUACCGUCGCCCCUCCACACCCCACCUCCCAACCCACACAGCACAUUCAGAAUACUGGCCCAGUUUCCCUAUCUCGCCAGUACACUGCCCCAACUCACUCGGAUUUCUGCUUUCUCUGGUGUUUAUUUUGGGGGGAGGGGUGGGGCCGCAACUCUUUUAGCUGUCGGUCCUGCGGAGUCAUUGUUUUCCUUAUUGUUUCCGCUGAAUUCUGCAUAAAACAGUAUAUCGGCUCAUCCCUCCCUGCUCUUAUUGUAUGAAUGAAAAUGGGGAUGUUUCGUUCCACCUGCGACAUGACAAGCUCAUGUGAAAUGCACAACAAACGUAGAGAGCAGAAACUGAAUGAGGGAGACUUCUUCUUCUGUCAAGGGGAAACAACCAAAAACAGAUGGUUAGAUGGAGGGGUAGGACUGUUGGAUCGACUUUCCGGAUUUUAUUUUUAUCCCAGGGACAUCUGCCAGUGCCAAGACCAUUUGUGUACGUUUUUUUGUUUCUGCGUCUAUUUUUCUAUCUGUGAUUUUAAAAAGGGCGACUAGCUAGGUAGAGCCUGUGUUUGCCUUCAUUUUUUUGGCCUCGGAUGUUUUGACAAUUGUUUUUAAUAAUCUGAAGAGCAACAGGGCUGUCUAAAGUGACUGAUCCAUCUGUUCUGAAGAAGUUACAUUGUGACAGGGAUUGAGAGAGGGAGGAAGGGAUGUUCUCUGUGGACACUAGACUCUUUACACUCUACAUUUUGUGCCAUAUAAAAGUUUUAUUUUGUCUUAUUUCCUUUCUCAGAUGGGUAUCUGAAUUCCAUCUGCAAUAUGUGAGCUGGAAAUUUCACAGUGUAAUUACUGACAGAAAUAUUGACAGUUCAAACAAUGGUACAAACAAUGGUUUAUUUCAUAUAGAGAAACAUAUUGGGUGGUUGUUAGUUUCCACCUUGUUUCACAUUAUGACACCUUAACUUGGGGUAUCACAUAAUGAGUAGUUAUUUGGGAUGCAAGAUGAUUUGUAGAUCACUGUUUCUGCACAGCCUGACUGCAAUCUAGUCCAUCUUAAAUGCAUACCCCACUGGGCAACAUUGAAUCAAUGUUUCCAUGUAAUUUCAAUUAAAUUAAGUUGAACCCAUGUGGAAUAGACAUGUAGUUGAUGAUCCAGGCUUCAGCAGUCCUGGAGCUACUUGCUAGUCAAGCAUUGACCUCCAUUCGUUUCAGAGGUACCCAUGAUAUCACAUGUCGUGUUCAUCUCGUACCCCCCCCAGCAUGCUCACUAUUCCCCCUGUUGUUUUUUACAUUUUUACCACCACCCUUAUCCAGAUGUGCUUCUCUGUGGAGCUGAAUGGACUGUUACUAAGCAAAUAACAAAUUAUUCACUUCCAUAAGACAUCCUUUUCGAAGACAUCGGAGUGCCUUUUAUCAUGAGGAGAAAUAUGAAAUAAUUUUUGUCCCCAAUGAGGAGAAUAUCAACACUGUUUGGAUGGGAAAACCAUUUCAUGUGACGGUUAAAUGGGCAUGUGUCCAUUGCCAAUAAUAUAUACUGAUUCACAGGCACAUUCACAGAGAUAGUAGAGACCGAGCGGUGAUUCCAGACCUGAAUAACUCUUGGAAGUAGAUGAAUCGUGUAGUUGUUAAGAAAAAGCAUAUUGAACUACCUGAAAAGCACUUCCUGAAAACUUGAAAGAUGUGACAUGUUUGUGUAUAUUCAAAUGAAGCUCUGUAUCCCGUUGAGUAUAUAUGUACAGUCUAUUCUGCUUUCUCAAGUCAGGAAGCUGUCAAAUCCAGGAGUGUUUUGGACAUUAACAUUUACAAGUGGGUCAUCUCUUGAACCAUUGUUUGAACUUCCAAAUCUAGCAUGGGUAUACAAUCUGUAAUGUGUUUUGUGUUGUCCCUGGUAACUUAUAGCCUGGAUGCUAGUUUUAGCAUUGUAGCUGCCAAUGGAAAUGGCCAAUGCUAAAACAGACAGAUCGAGGCUUGGCAACUGUAUUAUUCAUAUUUGCUUGAAUGGAAAAGGUGUACAUUUAUACAACCAAUGUUAAACAUGUAUUUUUUUCCCCUGGAAGAAUGCCACUCACCAAAACAAUUUCUAUCCUAAAAUAAUAUAUUUGCUUUUUAUUUAAUGGUAUUGGUUUAAGAUAUUUUAUCAGUUUGCAUUUUGUUUUUGUUCGAACUGUUGUUUUUGUGUAGACCCAUAGAUAAAUGACUCGUAAAACAAGUUAGACGGGAAAAAAAUAUGUUGGUGACUGUUUUUCUAAAUUCUUUGCAGGAUUUUAGUUGAACAUGUACUUUACAAAAUAUAAUAACUUGACAAGUGUCCUUUUGUAUGUGACCUGUACUAUAUGGCUUCAUUUAAUGUUGUGUACAUAUGAUUUACUUUGUUUUAUGUAGUGUUAUAGAUCUAGAUUUUGUACAAAAUGGUCCUCUGUACAGAAUAAAACAUCAAUAGCAAUGACAAGAAGUCAAUGUGGCACAUACAUUCUUUUCCUCUUUCACUUAUGACUUUGCAUUAUUAAAAAAGUCAUUGUA